UUCCGGUUGAUCCUGCCGGAGGACAUUGCUAUUGGGAUUCGAUUUAGCCAUGCUAUUCGAGCGAGUUCAGACUCGCGGCGAAUAGCUCAGUAACACGUGGCCAAGCUCCCCUUCAGUCAGCGAUACCCUCGGGAAACUGAGGUUAACAGCUGAUACAAAACGCCAGCUGGAAUGCGGCGUUUCAGAAAGACAUCGCUGAAGGAUGCGGCUGCGGCCGAUUAGGUAGACGGUGGGGUAACGGCCCACCGUGCCAGUAAUCGGUACGGGUGAUGAGAGUCAGAGCCCGGAGACGGAAUCUGAGACAAGAUUCCGGGCCCUACGGGGCGCAGCAGGCGCGAAACCUUUACACUGCACGGAAGUGCGAUAGGGGAAUCCCAAGUGCGAGGGCAUAUUAGCCCUCGCUUUUCUCGACUGUAAGGUGGUCGACGAAUAAGAGCUGGGCAAGACCGGUGCCAGCCGCCGCGGUAAUACCGGCAGCUCAAGUGAUGUCCCAUAUUAUUGGGCCUAAAGCGUCCGUAGCUGGCCGACCAAGUCUCCCGGGAAAUCCACCCGCCCAACGGGUGGGCGUCCGGUAGAAACUGGCCGGCUUGGAACCGGAAGGCUCAGAGAGUACGUCCGGGGUAGGAGUGAAAUCCCGUAAUCCCGGACGGACUACCGAUGGCGAAAGCACUCUGAGAAGACAGCUUCGACAGUGAGGGACGAAAGCUCGGGUCUCAAACCGGAUUAGAUACCCCGGUAGUC
rnacentral:rRNA from 1 species